UGCUAUCGCCCGCGUGCAUCGACCCGUUGGGAAUCCUUUCAGGAUGCGUUGACCUUUGGCGUUUUCUUUCCACCUAAGAUUUUGGGGCCGAACAGCGAGAUGGAUGAUUGAAGCUGUUCGUGGAAAGAGACGCAAACAUGCGCGAAUAUGAUUAUUUAGAGCGCGAGAGUAAUUUUCGGAAUCACGAAAUUAUCUUCGUGAUGUCCGGUGAUGCAAUUUGCAAUUUGGCGGUUAAUCUGAGGAUUCCCAAGUUGAUCAAGUUCACUUCGAACUGAUCCGUGGAAGAGGCAGGAGUGGCCCAAAGUUCUCGCGCCGUGGUGUCUUUUCAAAGUUUGUAGAAUCGUGUGUGCUAUUGUGAAAAGGCGGUGUGUUAUCGUGUGUCGCUUCGUGCAAUUAAAGGUUUCUUGCCAAGCCGUUAAUCCGUCCGUGGCACCGCCACCGAACUCCCAGUGGCCAUUUCUGACCCCACUGUUAGGCUCAGAAGUUCUCCAGGGACACGCCGGAAGAGGGACGCUUCCGUU